GACGAACGCUGGCGGCGUGCUUAACACAUGCAAGUCGAACGGCAAGGCCCCGCUUUUGUGGGGUGCUCGAGUGGCGAACGGGGGAGUAACACGUGAGUAACCUGCCCUUGACUUUGGGAUAACUUCAGGAAACUGGGGCUACUACCGGAUAGGAGCUCCUGCUGCAUGGAGGGGGUUGGAAAGUUUCGGCCGGCGGGGCUGGACGGGCGGCUUAUCGGCUAGUUGGUGGGGGAGUGGCAUACCAAGGCAUUGGCGGGUAGCCGGCCUGAGAGGGUGACCGGGCACCUUGCGACUGCGGUACGGCCCAGUCUGCAACGGUGGGCAGCGGUGGGGAGUAUUGCACAGUGGGCGGAAGUCUGUUGCAGCAGCGUCGCGUGCGUGAUGCCGUCCUUCUGGUUGUAAACCGCUUCCGCCUGUGACGAAGCGGGUGUGACGGUAACGGGUAAAGAAGCACCGGCUAACUACGUG
rnacentral:rRNA from 1 species